UAGGGAAUCUUCCACAAUGGACGGAAAGUCUGAUGGAGCAACGCCGCGUGAGUGAAGAAGGGUUUCGGCUCGUAAAACUCUGUUGUUAAAGAAGAACAUAUCUGAGAGUAACUGUUCAGGUAUUGACGGUAUUUAACCAGAAAGCCACGGCUAACUACGUGCCGG
rnacentral:rRNA from 1 species